rnacentral:lncRNA from 1 species
CCACGACCACGUCCUCGGCCUCGCCCUCUCCCUCGGGCAUUGUACUGACCUUGCGAAAACUGGGCUGAUGGAGCCACAACAGCAACUUUCUCUUCUUUCUUUAAUCUGCGUUCUUCAGUCAACAAACGAGCAUGUAAUUCGUCAAAGUCGAUUGUAGCAUCACUUUGAUCAAGCAAACGAACAAAACUGCUAUAAGUUGGGCCAAGCCCAUUACAAGAAAAUUCAACCAAGUCUUCGUCAGAAACUGACUGUCCUAAAGCAGUCAAUCGAUCGGACAAUAGUUUAAUAUUCGACAUAUACUCAUCGAUAGACAGAGAAUCUCGUUGAAGA